rnacentral:rRNA from 1 species
AACGAACGCUGGCGGCAUGCCUAACACAUGCAAGUCGAACGAAGCCUUCGGGCUUAGUGGCGCACGGGUGCGUAACGCGUGGGAAUCUGCCCUUGGGUUCGGAAUAACAGUUAGAAAUGACUGCUAAUACCGAAUGAUGUCUUCGGACCAAAGAUUUAUCGCCCAAGGAUGAGCCCGCGUCGGAUUAGCUAGUUGGUGAGGUAAAGGCUCACCAAGGCGACGAUCCGUAGCUGGUCUGAGAGGAUGAUCAGCCACACUGGGACUGAGACACGGCCCAGACUCCUACGGGAGGCAGCAGUGGGGAAUAUUGGACAAUGAGCGAAAGCCUGAUCCAGCAAUGCCGCGUGAGUGAUGAAGGCCUUAGGGUGUAAAGCUCUUUACCGGGAUGAUAAUGACAGUACCGGGAGAAUAAGCCCCGGCUAACUCCGUGCCAGCAGCCGCGGU